rnacentral:rRNA from 1 species
UACAGAGGGUGCAAACGUUGCCCGGAAUCAUUGGGCGUAAAGCGCGUGUAGGCGGCCAGGUAAGUCCGUUCUGAAAGCCCGGGGCUCAACCCCGGGAGGCGGAUGGAUACUGCUUGGCUCGAGUCCGGAAGAGGCGAGUGGAAUUCCCGGUGUAGCGGUGAAAUGCGCAGAUAUCGGGAGGAACGCCAAUGGCGAAUGCAGCUCGCUGGGACGGGACUGACGCUGAGACGCGAAAGCGUGGGGAGCAAACAGG